rnacentral:rRNA from 1 species
CGAACGCUGGCGGCGCGUUUUAAGCAUGCAAGUCGAACGGUAAUAUGGUCUUCGGACUGUAUGAGAGUGGCGAACGGGUGAGUAACACGUAGGUGAUCUACCUCGGGCCCGGGGAUAGCCUGUGGAAACACAGGGUAAUACCGGAUGUGAGCAUCUGUGUAAAGGCAGAUGGGGAAAGGAGCUUAGGCUCCGGCCUGAGAUGAGCCUGCGGUCCAUUAGCUAGUUGGUGAGGUAAAGGCCCACCAAGGCGACGAUGGAUAGCCGGCCUGAGAGGGUGAACGGCCACACUGGGACUGAGACACGGCCCAGACUCCUACGGGAGGCAGCAGCUAAGAAUCUUCCGCAAUGGGCGAAAGCCUGACGGAGCGACGCCGCGUGAAUGAAGAAGGCCGGAAGGUUGUAAAGUUCUUUUCUUGGGGAGGAAUAAGGACAGGAGGGAAUGCCUGUUUGAUGACGUUAACCAAGGAAUAAGCCCCGGCUAAUUAC